GACGAACGCUGGCGGCGUGCCUAAUACAUGCAAGUCGAACGAGAGCGACCGGUGCUUGCACUGGUCAAUCUAGUGGCGAACGGGUGAGUAACACGUGGGUAACCUGCCCAUCAGAGGGGGAUAACAUCCGGAAACGGAUGCUAAAACCGCAUAGGUCUUCGAGCCGCAUGGCUUGAAGAGGAAAAGAGGCGCAAGCUUCUGCUGAUGGAUGGACCCGCGGUGCAUUAGCUAGUUGGUGAGGUAACGGCUCACCAAGGCCGUGAUGCAUAGCCGACCUGAGAGGGUGAUCGGCCACAUUGGGACUGAGACACGGCCCAAACUCCUACGGGAGGCAGCAGUAGGGAAUCUUCCGCAAUGGACGCAAGUCUGACGGAGCAACGCCGCGUGAGUGAAGAAGGUUUUCGGAUCGGAAAACUCUGUUGUUAGGGAAGAACAAGUGCUAGGGUAACUGUUAGCGCCUUGACGGUAUCUAACCAGAAAGCCACGGCUAACUACGUG
rnacentral:rRNA from 1 species